AUUGAACGCUGGCGGCAGGCCUAACACAUGCAAGUCGAGCGGAUGAAGGGAGCUUGCUCCUGGAUUCAGCGGCGGACGGGUGAGUAAUGCCUAGGAAUCUGCCUGGUAGUGGGGGAUAACGUCCGGAAACGGGCGCUAAUACCGCAUACGUCCUGCGGGAGAAAGUGGGGGAUCUUCGGACCUCACGCUAUCAGAUGAGCCUAGGUCGGAUUAGCUAGUUGGUGGGGUAAAGGCCUACCAAGGCGACGAUCCGUAACUGGUCUGAGAGGAUGAUCAGUCACACUGGAAGUGAGACACGGUCCAGACUCCUACGGGAGGCAGCAGUGGGGAAUAUUGGACAAUGGGCGAAAGCCUGAUCCAGCCAUGCCGCGUGUGUGAAGAAGGUCUUCGGAUUGUAAAGCACUUUAAGUUGGGAGGAAGGGCAGUAAGUUAAUACCUUGCUGUUUUGACGUUACCAACAGAAUAAGCACCGGCUAACUUCGUG
rnacentral:rRNA from 1 species